rnacentral:lncRNA from 10 species
UCCGGGUGUGAUGGCUCACACCUUUAAUUCCAGCACUUUGGGAGGCUGAGUCAGGUGGAUCACCUGAGGUCAGGAGUUCAAGACCAGCCUGGCCAACCUGGUGAAACCCCGUCUCUACUAAAAAUACAAAAAUUAGCCAGGUGUGGUGGAAGGCCCCUGUAAUCCUAGCUACUCAGGAGGCUGAGGCAGGAAAAUCGCUUGAACCCAGGAGGCGAACAUUUUAGUGAGCCGAGAUCAUGCCACUGCACGGCAGCCUGGGCAACAAGAGUGAAACUCCAUUUCAAAAAAAAAAAAAAAAGGCCGGGCGCGGUGGCUCACACCUGUAAUCCCAGCACUUUGGGAGGCCAAGGCAGGUGGAUCACAAGGUCAAGAGAUGGAGACCAUCCUGGCCAACAUGGUGAAACCCCAUCUCUACUAAAAAUACAAAAAUUAGCUGGGCAUGGAGGCAGGCGCCUGUAGUCCCAGCUACUGGGGAGGCUGAAGCAGGAGAAUCACUUGAACCCAGGAGGUGGAGCUUGCAGUGAGCCGAGAUUGCACCACUGCACUCCAGCCUGGGCAACAGAGUGAGACUCCGUCUCAAAAAAAAAAAGGUUAAAAUGAUAAAUUUCAUGUUAUGUCUAUUUUACCACAAUAAAAAAAAUAGAGCAUAGUCCAACUGUACAUUACAUUUCUUCAGUAGAUUACCAACGAACCGCGAAAGUUCCUUCUCUUGCCCGUGUCACAUGUCUAUCGCAGGUUUGCAGAGGGGUAGAGGUAGGGGGCUCUGCUCAUUGAAUACUCAGGGACCCUGGUCGACAGAAAAGCCACUAUCUCAAGGAGAGUACCAGAGGGUGUCCCAUUGACAAAAGGCACUUGUCACUAUAGGCAGUCACACAGCUCCAUUCACUUACAAGGACCAGGAAGUAAAUGCUACCAUGGGCCUCAAAGUGGGGAGAACUAGAUAGAGUUAGCACCAGUGACUACCACAGGGGCCCUCCCAGCCCCCUCACAGGUCACAUGCUCCUCUAACAUCCUCUACCCAGGGUCUCCAGCGGAAGGCUUAGCUCCUACACUCCUGACUCAAAAGAGAAAAGUGGCAGUAGGUCUACCCUUGCCCCCAACAUCCUGACAGAGACGUGUCUUCUCCAUCCAUGCUCUUCUCAAACCAUCCCAUCUGCCUUUGGCACAGUGGGUGACCUUCCAUCCUCCCUCCUGACUUCCAGACCUGGCUCACCUACCAGCUGCUCAGCGACUUCCACCCCCACAGUGACUCACCACUGCAGUCAUCUUAAUAUCCCCUCCAUGUGACACCUACGAGGAGAACUAUGUCCUGGACCUCAUCACCGUAGGUUCUUCAUCUGUAACACAUGGGGAUCCUUCUACCCGCCUUCCAGAGGGAAGAGGGAAGGAGCUGCCAUCUAUGGAACCCAAUCUCACUUCAUCUGCACCGAGCAUGGUCUCAGGGAGCAUAGCGAGACAUCUCACCAUCCACCCAGCUUUCCGUGGGGUGCAUUAGUUUCAAGAUGAAAGAUUAGAAACCUGUGGUCAUGUACUUUCGGAUACAAACGUUUUAGUGAGUAUAAAGCAGUGGUGGUUUUUUUUUUUCAUUCAUAUUCUUUUAUUAGGUAAUGUACCCCCUAAUUUAUAAGUUGAGUUCCAUAUAACUCAAUAAAGGGGGUGUCAUUUUUAAAGUUAAACAUUUUCUGGAGAUAAUUUUAGAUUUUCAUGCAGUUGUGAGAAACACUAAAGAGAGAUCCCAUGUACCCUUACUCAGUUUCCCCUGAUGAUACCAUCUCACAGUGAAGUGGGCUGUCACAACCAAGAUACUGACAGUGACGUGAACGUUUCCAUUACCACUGGAUUCCUCAUGCCACCCUCCAGCUGGCCACCCCUUAACCCUGAACAAUGACUAAUCUAUUCUCUUUUUCUAUAAUUUUAUCAUUUCAAUAGUGUUAUAGAAAUGAACUCAUUCGGCCAGGCACAGUGGCUCAUGCCUGUAAUCCCAGCACUCUGGGAGGCUGAGGUGGGUGGAUCAUGAGGUCAGGAGAUCAAGACCAUCCUGGCUAACACGGUGAAACCCCGUCUCUACUAAAAAUACAAAAAAAAAAAUUAGCCAGGUGUGGUGGCGGGUGCCUGUAGUCCCAGCUACUUGGGAGGCUGAGGCAGGAGAAUGGCGUGAACCCGGUAGGCAGAGCUUGCAGUGAGCCGAGAUCAAGCCACUGCACUCCAGCCUGGGCAACAGAGUGAGACUCUGUCUCAAAAAAAAAAAAAAAAAAAUAAAGAACUCAUUCAAGGCCGGGCACAGUGCCUCAUGCCUGGAAUCCCUGUACUUUAGGAGACUGAGGUGGGUGGAUCAUUUGAGGUGAGGAGUUUGAGACCAGCCUGGCCAACAUGGUGAAGCCCCAUCUCUACUAAAAACUAAAAACAUUAGCUAGGUGUGGCGUCAGGCGCCUGUAAACCCAGCUACUCAGGAGGCUGAGGCAGGAGAAUCGCUUGAACCUGGGAGGCAGAGGUUGCAGUGAGCCAAGAUCGUGCCAUUGCACUCUAGCCUAGGAAACAGAGCGAGACUCCAUCUCAAAAAAAAAAAAAAAAAAAAAAAAAAGAAAGAAAGAAACGAACUCAUUCAGCAUAUAGCCUUUUGGAACUGGCUCUUUUCACCAAGCAUAACCCUCUGGAGAUUCAUCUAGAUUGUUGCAUGUGUCUCUAGUUCACCCCUCUGUAUUGCUGGGUAACAGUUCAUGGUAUGGUUAUGCCAGCAUGUAAACACUCACCUGUUGAAGGACAUCCGCAGGAUUUCUAGUUUCCAACUACAGCUUAGAAAACUGAGGCCAGAGAGUGAAGCAACUGCACAGGCAUAAUACGGCACAGCUGGCAUUUCAGCUCCAGUCCAUUUGCCAGAGUCACACGGGAUGACAGGUGAGAAACAGACCAGGCAGCUUCAAUGGGAUAGAUGGAGACUUGACGUCAUUGAUAAUCUGAUGCCUUGAAAGUCGUGUGUAAGAAGCUGACUCUGAAUUGGAGGGAGGCCAGGAGAUUUGCACCCAGCUCUGGCAAUGGGUUUGGGGAAGCUAUAAACCACCUUUCAAAGGGAACACCUGGUCGGGUGCAGUGGCUCAUGCCUGUAAUCCCAGUACUUUGGGAGGCCAAGGUGGGUGGAUCACCUGAAGUCAGGAGUUCGACACCAGCCUGGCCAACAUGGUGAAACCCCGUCUCUACUAAAAAUACAAAAAAAAAAAAAAAAAAAUUAGCCGGGCAUGGUGGCGGGUGCCUGUAGUCCCAGCUACUCGGGAGGCUGAGACAGGAGAAUCACUUGAACCUGGGAGGCGGAGGUUGCAGUGAGCCAAGAUUGCGCCACUGCACUCCAGCCUGGGUGACAGAGCAAGACUUUAUCUCCAAACAAACAAAAAACCACAAAGGGAACAUCUAUUGCUGACUGAAAACAGAUGAGGAGGGACGUAGCAACUGAUUUGCAUUGUUCUAGGAGCAUCCAGAUCAAACGUAUAUUCAGGGGCCAGAGGAGAAGUGUAACUGAAUUUAGAGGAGCGGAUGGAGUGGAGAAUAACUCGAGGAACAGCGCCAUCGGUGUGACACUACUCACACUGCAGCCAUGAAGGGAUGGGCUCUCCGGGGAGUGUGGAGACCAGAGGUUCGGGGGUAGGCUACAACCUGGGGCUGGAAGAGAUGACAACAAAGGAGAGAGAAGGGGGCUCAGGGAGGCAGGGCGAGCCAGAUGAAUGAAUGAAGGCCAAAGACAAAGGGACUCAGUAUUUCCGAGGCAAGAGGUCAGGGAGGAAGGAGUGCAUUUGUUAUCUACAGCGCAUAACAAGUUAGCCCAUAUCUUAGCGGCUGAAACAACACGUAUUGUCUCUCUGUUUCCAUGGGUCAGGAAUCUGUGAGUGGCUUGCUGGGGUCCUCAGGCUCAGGCUCUCUCACAGACUGCAAUCAAGGUGUCCGGCUGCUGUCAUCUCAAGGUUUGAUGGGGAAGGAUCCACUUCCAGCCUCACUCACAUGGUUGUUGUUGACAGAAUCUAGUUCCUCACAGGUUGGUGGACUGAGGGCUUCAAUUCAAUGCUGGCUAUUGGCCAGAGGCUGCCCUCAGCUCCUUGCCACGUGGGCCUCUCCACAGGACGCUCCCAAGAUGGCAGCUGGCCUCACCAGAGAGGAAGGAGGAGAGAGCGAGAGAGUGUGUGGCAAGCGAAGAGACGAACUUUCAUAACCAAAUCUUGGAGGCAUUUGCGCUGUUCUCUCCGUUAAUAGCCAGUCACUAGAACCAGCCCACACUGAAGUGGAGGGGAUUACAAGGAUCCAGAUACCAGGAAGCCAUUUUAGAAGCUGCCCACCACAGGAGCAAAGGCAAGGGGGCUGGACCCGACCUAAGACUACCCCAGGCAGCCCAGAGCAGACUGUCCGAGAGUGUGAGGACAGAAUCCCAGCCCGAAUCCCAGCUGUCCCAGCACCACAGGGAGACAUGGACACACUCAGGGCCUCCUGCCGGUUCCCAGAAGAGCCUGGCUCAGUCAUUUGCCUGGGUUCACUCCCACCACCCCCAGCAGUGCCGGGAAUAAAACAAUAAUACACAGCAGCAAAAUGCCCCUCCAGCAGCCCAUGUACACAGCCUGGCUCACCUUCCCCAUCUUACCAGCCGGCACUGCCAUCGGGACACGGAAACCUCUUCAGGACGUGGGAGGAGGGGAAGCAAUUCCAUAGACAUUUCUGGGCCCUUCUCAGCUGCCCCCACCAGCAGCCAGCAGCCCCCUGGAUCCAUCUGGGGAAGGAGACUCCCCUUUCCCUGAGGGCCUCCCCCUCUGAGCCUGGCCAGCACCCUGGGCCUGUUCUCCUGUCCCCCUGCAGCUGCAGGGCCAUAGGUCCCCUUGUGGGAGGGACAGAAGGACAGAGAGGCACCAGGAAGGUGGGCACCAGGGCCUUCCCACCAGGAGCCGACACUCCCCAGGGAACAUUUCCGGGGCAUGCUCAGGAGGCAGGAAGUGGGAUGCAGGGGAAAUCCUCAAAGGCUGAGGCUGCGGCUGGACAGAGACUUGAGGGAGGAACAGAGGAGGAUGGCAGGUACAAAUCUCAACCCACGGCAGGUAAAAGACAUGCACCUUUUUAGAAGUCCCCUGAUGUCAGUUUUUAGAAGUCCCCUGAUAUUUGUCUCUGCCCAAAUCUCAUGUCGAACUGUAAUCCUUUGCAUGGGAGGUGCUUGGAUCACUGGGCUGGAUUUCUUGUGAAUGGUUUAACGCCAUCCCCUUGGUGCCGUCCAUGUGUUAGUAAGUUCUUAUGAGAUUUGGUCAUUUAAAAGUGACACAUAGCAUCUCUCACAAAGUGUGGGAGCACACUCUCACUCUCUUGUUCCUGCUUUUGCUACCUGCCUGCUCUUCCUUUGCCUUCCAUCAUGAUUGGAAACUUCCUGAGGCCUCCCUGGAAGCCAAGCAGAUGCCAUCAUCAUGCUUCCUAUAAAGCCUGCAGAACUAUGAGCCCAUCAAAACUCUUUUCUUUAGAAAUCACCCAGUCUCAAGUUUUUUUGUGUGUUUUUUUGUUUGUUUGUUUUUGAGACGGAGUUUCACUCCGUCACCCAGGCUGGAGUGCAAUGGCGCGAUCUCGGCUCACUGCAACCUCUGCCUCCUGGCU